AUCUCCCGGAGCUCUCUCUCCUCCUCCCUCGAGAGACCCGUGGACCCGCAACCUGCGCCUCCUCCUCCCAUCGCAGGUUGCCACAAGACGGUGGCGUCACCUCCUCCCGGCGCCACCGUCUCGU
rnacentral:sRNA from 1 species